AAAGCUUUUUGCCUCCUCCCCCGCAUCUCUACCCCCGACAGCUGAGCAGCUGGAGCUCAGCAAAGCAGGGCAGCCAGCGGGACCCGAAACGGUUUCAAAGUCUGCUCGGAACAAAAAGCUGAGUGUCUUGUUUUGCUGUUUUCGCAGGAGAAACGAGAGCGGCCGCAGUGAGAUAAAGGCGAGAGCUCUUUUGUUCGUCCCCCGGAUCUCCCGGGAACGGGCUGCAUUUGUUGUUUCAACAUUUUCUCAUCCAUCUGUUGGAAAUGGGAGAGCCAGUCCCUGAUGGGCUGAGAGGUGGCCCUGUCCUGGGAAUUCCCUCACAGCUGUGUUCCGUGGGAAACUCAGACACGCUGCAGCAUCUCAACACAGCACUCAACACUGGACCAGCAAGGACAAAGCUGGGCCGCAGCCAGCAGCACCCAGCAGCCCUUGGGUAGGAGUCAGAAGGGGACAACAGCAGGACAGGGCAGCAAACUGGGGAUCUUGCACCGUGCCCUAUGCGCUGCCUCCCUACCUGUCCCCAGUGCCACCACCUGCAACGGCUGCAGGGCUGGGAAACUCCACUCGCCAGAGCCCAAUAAAUUAUACCUUAGUCCUAAA